CGAGUUCAAUAUGACAAAAUGACUCUCGGCAACGGAUAUCUCGGCUCUCGCAUCGAUGAAGAACGUAGCAAAAUGCGAUACGUGGUGUGAAUUGCAGAAUUCCGUGAACCAUCGAGUUUUUGAACGCAAGUUGCGCCCAACGUCAUUCGGCCGA
rnacentral:rRNA from 1 species